rnacentral:tRNA from 1 species
GACGGUUUGGCCGAGUGGUCAAAGGACGCCAGAUUUAGCCUCUGGUCUAAAACGGCGUGGGUUUAAAUCCCACAGCCGUCA